UUAAAUCCUGGAAUUUCCAAGGAAAUUAAAGAUUGCAAUCGAAGGGUUGCAGGUUCAAUUCCUGUCCGUUUCAAAUCGAAGGGUUGCAGGUUCAAUUCCUGUCCGUUUCA